rnacentral:rRNA from 1 species
GGCUCUGGACGAACGCUGGCGGCGUGCUUAACACAUGCAAGUCGAACGGUGAAGCCCUUCGGGGUGGAUCAGUGGCGAACGGGUGAGUAACACGUGGGCAAUCUGCCCUGCACUCUGGGACAAGCCCUGGAAACGGGGUCUAAUACCGGAUAUUACCUUCCUCUGCAUGGGGGUUGGUGGAAAGCUCCGGCGGUGCAGGAUGAGCCCGCGGCCUAUCAGCUUGUUGGUGGGGUAAUGGCCUACCAAGGCGACGACGGGUAGCCGGCCUGAGAGGGCGACCGGCCACACUGGGACUGAGACACGGCCCAGACUCCUACGGGAGGCAGCAGUGGGGAAUAUUGCACAAUGGGCGAAAGCCUGAUGCAGCGACGCCGCGUGAGGGAUGACGGCCUUCGGGUUGUAAACCUCUUUCAGCAGGGAAGAAGCGAAAGUGACGGUACCUGCAGAAGAAGCACCGGCUAACUACGUGCCAGCAGCCGCGGUAAUACGUAGGGUGCGAGCGUUGUCCGGAAUUAUUGGGCGUAAAGAGCUCGUAGGCGGCUUGUCACGUCGGUUGUGAAAGCCCGGGGCUUAACCCCGGGUCUGCAGUCGAUACGGGCAGGCUAGAGUUCGGUAGGGGAGAUCGGAAUUCCUGGUGUAGCGGUGAAAUGCGCAGAUAUCAGGAGGAACACCGGUGGCGAAGGCGGAUCUCUGGGCCGAUACUGACGCUGAGGAGCGAAA